UACAGAGGGGGCAAGCGUUGUUCGGAAUUACUGGGCGUAAAGCGUGCGCAGGCGGUUUUGUAAGCCAGAUGUGAAAUCCCCGGGCUCAACCUGGGAAUGGCAUUUGGGACUGCAAGGCUCGAGUGCGGCAGAGGAGACUGGAAUUCCUGGUGUAGCAGUGAAAUGCGUAGAUAUCAGGAGGAAUACCGAUGGCGAAGGCAGGUCUCUGGGCUGACACUGACGCUCAUGCACGAAAGCGUGGGGAGCAAACAGG
rnacentral:rRNA from 1 species